rnacentral:rRNA from 1 species
UACGGGGGGGGCAAGCGUUGUUCGGAAUUACUGGGCGUAAAGGGCGCGUAGGCGGCUCGCUAAGUUGGAUGUGAAAACUCUGGGCUUAACCCAGAGCCUGCAUCCAAAACUGGCAAGCUUGAGUACUGGAGGGGAAAGCGGAAUUCCUGGUGUAGCGGUGAAAUGCGUAGAUAUCAGGAGGAACACCGGUGGCGAAGGCGGCAUCCUGGACCAACACUGACGCUGAGUGAGCGAAAGCCAGGGGAGCAAACGGG